rnacentral:rRNA from 1 species
UACGGAGGGUGCAAGCGUUAAUCGGAAUUACUGGGCGUAAAGCGUGCGCAGGCGGUGAUGUAAGACAGAUGUGAAAUCCCCGGGCUCAACCUGGGAACUGCAUUUGUGACUGCAUCGCUGGAGUGCGGCAGAGGGGGAUGGAAUUCCACGUGUAGCAGUGAAAUGCGUAGAGAUGUGGAGGAAUACCGAUGGCGAAGGCAGCCCCCUGGGAUAACACUGACGCUCAUGCACGAAAGCGUGGGGAGCAAACAGG